rnacentral:rRNA from 1 species
GACGAACGCUGGCGGCGUGCUUAACACAUGCAAGUCGAACGGAAAGGCCCUGCUUUUGUGGGGUGCUCGAGUGGCGAACGGGUGAGUAACACGUGAGUAACCUGCCCUUGACUUUGGGAUAACUUCAGGAAACUGGGGCUAAUACCGGAUAGGAGCUCCUGCUGCAUGGUGGGGGUUGGAAAGUUUCGGCGGUUGGGGAUGGUCUCGCGGCUUAUCAGCUUGUUGGUGGGGUAGUGGCUUACCAAGGCUUUGACGGGUAGCCGGCCUGAGAGGGUGACCGGCCACAUUGGGACUGAGAUACGGACCAGACUCCUACGGGAGGCAGCAGUGGGGAGUAUUGCGCAAUGGGCGGAAGCCUGAUGCAGCAACGCCGCGUGCGGGAUGACGGCCUUCGGGUUGUAAACCGCUUUCGCCUGUGACGAAGCGUGAGUGACGGUAAUGGGUAAAGAAGCACCGGCUAACUACGUG